GAAGUGAUAUGGCGCCUCUUGCCGUGUGUAGUUAUGAGGCACGCCUGUCCCCUCCUUUCUCUCGCUGCCAGCCUGGGAAUUGGACAUGAUGGCUGGAGCUCCAGCUGCCAUCUUAUACCCAGGGGUGCAGACCAUGUCCUAGAAGUACCUGAAGCUGGCUGAAUCCCAGAUAAUUUCUUGGAGAUGCCAACCUAACCCUGAGGAACCUGCCUCUAGACUUCUUUUAAAACAACAGAAUAAAAUUCUGUGUGUUAAAGUCACUGUUUUCUGCACCAAAGCUAUCCUGAUUUGGUAGAUACGUAACAUCUUCUUAAAGUCUAAAUAUCGCAGUCUCAGUCCAUAAUCAUUGCCAGCUCAUGUUUAUUCCUCUAAACAUGAUCUUGAAAUGUUUGGAGAGAUGGGUCCAUGGAAUAACCCCGAACUCAUAGAUUCCUAUACGUACGAUUAGCUAAAAUAACCAAAUGCACAUUGAGAAGGAGUUGUUCAGGUUUGUGUAUGUUCUGUUCACAGAUGUAGGCAGGUAUUCCCUAAAGGAUUUAAUGAGAACACGGCCCCCAAAUAAUGUAGUGUGAUUGACAACAGAGGGAGGCCAAGGAAUAGAGUGAGGGGGAGGUCAGGGGCAGGACAAGGUAGAAAUGGACAGGGGUAUAGAAAGGCAGGUCCAAACGGGUGAGUAGACAUGAGACCAGUGUGGUGUGAGGAGAAAACACAUUAGGAUGUUUAGUUAGAAACGGUUUUCAUCCUAAAAUGAGAGGCAUUAGGAUUUAGAGCCAUUUAUCAUGCACUUGUCACUUUUUCUUCCCUUUGCUGCCCUCCCUCCCCCACUUCCAGCAGGAGCCCUGAGGCCACGGUGGCUCGGUGGCUCGGUUGCUCUCGGCAGGCUGUGACAUCUUGCUUCCUACGUGUGUCCAGUUGCAUGGAUUCCUGCUUUAUAUCAUCCAGGUAAGUACGGCCUCACAGAAGGAGGACAGGAGCGUCAAAAUAGUCCUGCAAAGAAACUGCUGCUUCUGCUCGUCAUUCUAGUCUUAUCUCCAAGGGAAGAAGAACUUGGCAAAGCUGGCGCUUCUUGUGCUCCUUGAUGAGCUCCUCGUCCACCCAGAUGCUGCAAGAGUUUCAUUUGACUGCGUCACCAAGGAUUUUUGAUAAAUGUUCACAGCACAGUAUCUAAAUGCAACUCAAGGAAAUAAGUUCUGCCAGCGACCAGGACAACACUGCCCAGAUUCUUUUGUUUGGCUUGAUCCGCCUGAGGUCUUCCCCGUUGCAGAUGAUGGCAACUCCAACUUUCCAGUGACUCAGGCAGAACACCCUGGAGUCAUUCCACAUUCAACUGGCCAGGAAGUCCUCUUGGCUCUACCUUCCCUCCAUAUCCAGCAGCCAGCCUCUCCUCCCCACAGCCCUGCAUCGCCCAUCUCCAGGUCCCUGGGCUGGACUCUCUCAGCAGCUCUGAGGGGCUCUCCCUGCUUCUGCCUCUCCUUGACCCAGCAGCCAGAGUGACCCUGUUACAACAUAAGUCAGACCACAUCACGCCUCUGCUCUAAACCCUCUUUGCUUUGCCAACUCACUCAUGGUAAAAGCAGAAAUUCUAACUGUGUCCUGUAAGGCCCACCAGCAUCUGGCCUUGUGUGACUCUGACCAACUCUCCUACUCCUCUUGUUUAUUCCUCUCGGGCCGUACAGGAAUCCUUGUUCUUUAAGCAAGCCGGCCUCACUCCUGACCCAGGGCCCGGCCCUGGCUGUUAUUCUGUCUGCAACGCUCCUCCAUGCAGAGACCUGUCUAGCUUGCUCUGUCACCUCCUUUGGGUCUUGACUGAAUGUGACCUUCUCAGAGAGGCCUACAGGGCUCCACUAUCUAAAAGUGCAAACUACCGCCCCAGCUGCAAGGAGCAUUCGCCACGGCCUGCAGGCUGGGCACAGCCUUGGUGCCAGCCAUGCCCUGCCCACUCUUGGCCCCCAGGGCUGGAGGGCAGGAGCUGUCCAGAAGCUGUGCACCUGCCCCAAUCUGUUCUUGGUGCAUGAAUUCAUAGAGAAACAUGGAUGGAUAACAACAGAAAGUGGUAUUGAGCAGUGGGAGUCAACAAUUUGCACAGGAAGCUUUGGAGAUGUUGCUUUUGUAGGCUGCCUGAAAUUGAGGCAAAAUUCAAUAAGUGCCUUUGGUGCUUUGGAAAGUAUGAAAGCUGCUGGUGAGCUCCAUUCUCCUGGAUCAGAAGAAGUGUCUGGAAUUAGUGACGCUCUUGCAGAAAAUCCAGGACUUGUCAACAAAUCUUGUUAUGAAGAUGGUUGGCUGAUAAAGAUGACACUGAGUAACCUUUCAGAACCAGAUGAAUCAAUGAGUGAAGAAGCAUAAGAAAUAUAUAAAGCCUAUUGAGAAGUGAAAAUGGAACCCUCUAAAUAAAGUAGCAUGAAACAA